UUGGCUAAGGUGUAUGUAAACUUCAGACUUCAACUGUAUGUAAUGUAUGUCAUUCACUCGUUAAGGUCUGAAGAAGACAGGUUGAAAGAUUGAAAACGGCGGCAAAAACAAAGCACACUACAGGUAGGUGGAGUCAUAUGAUGAGUGGUAUAGUCUGAAACCAAUGUUUAAAGACCAAUAUGUUUUAGGAUGAUGUAGAUGACUCCCCCCUCCCCCCAAGAAGUCACAGCAGGUCACAUCAGCAUCCAGCUUUGCAAGAGCAGACCAUACUAAAAAUGAAAUGCACGGCGAACUGGGAGCUGUGAACUGGGAUGCAGAUUUUCUCCUAAGGGACACCCUAGUGGCAGCAAGGUGGUGUGAACGCCAAACAUUUAAAGGCACUGUUUCCCUCCCUAGUGCAAUUGGGAUGGACGGGGAAGACCGCAUUUACAACCCUUAAAUAACUACGGUUGUAUGAUGGCCUGGAUGAAUAGGAAAAUAUUCUCCUCAAGGAACUGACCGUCUUUGCCUCUUUUGAGGAGCAGGAGUGAAGCUAUUUUUGAGGAGUGGUCAAACCUUGUUUUUGUCUGCUGUGUUAAUUGUUUCAAUUGUUAAUUGUGUUAUUUAGUAAAGAUGACGUAGCAGUCACCCGAGUCUCUGGUCUCUUUACUGGAGCUGGUAUAACUGUCUAUAUGGUAUAGUCUGUUUCCAUUCUCAUGAGGAAAGUAAAUAGCAUUAUAAAUCAGGAUAGG